rnacentral:misc_RNA from 1 species
UUAAGUUCAGCGGGUAACCCUACCUGAUCCGAGGUCAAACCAUCUUGAGUUGAGGGGUUGACGGCAGGCCUCCGCCGGGACCCGAUGCGAGCUGUAAGUACUACGCAGGGGGCGCCGCGGCGGGGCCGCCACUUCAUUUCGGGGCCCGCGGGGGAGCGCUAGGGCUCCCCCGUGGCGCCCCAACACCGAGGCGGCGGCCC